GGCUCAGGACGAACGCUGGCGGCGUGCCUAAUACAUGCAAGUCGAGCGGACAGAUGGGAGCUUGCUCCCUGAUGUUAGCGGCGGACGGGUGAGUAACACGUGGGUAACCUGCCUGUAAGACUGGGAUAACUCCGGGAAACCGGGGCUAAUACCGGAUGGUUGUUUGAACCGCAUGGUUCAAACAUAAAAGGUGGCUUCGGCUACCACUUACAGAUGGACCCGCGGCGCAUUAGCUAGUUGGUGAGGUAACGGCUCACCAAGGCAACGAUGCGUAGCCGACCUGAGAGGGUGAUCGGCCACACUGGGACUGAGACACGGCCCAGACUCCUACGGGAGGCAGCAGUAGGGAAUCUUCCGCAAUGGACGAAAGUCUGACGGAGCAACGCCGCGUGAGUGAUGAAGGUUUUCGGAUCGUAAAGCUCUGUUGUUAGGGAAGAACAAGUACCGUUCGAAUAGGGCGGUACCUUGACGGUACCUAACCAGAAAGCCACGGCUAACUACGUGCCAGCAGCCGCGGUAAUACGUAGGUGGCAAGCGUUGUCCGGAAUUAUUGGGCGUAAAGGGCUCGCAGGCGGUUUCUUAAGUCUGAUGUGAAAGCCCCCGGCUCAACCGGGGAGGGUCAUUGGAAACUGGGGAACUUGAGUGCAGAAGAGGAGAGUGGAAUUCCACGUGUAGCGGUGAAAUGCGUAGAGAUGUGGAGGAACACCAGUGGCGAAGGCGACUCUCUGGUCUGUAACUGACGCUGAGGAGCGAAAGCGUGGGGAGCGAACAGGAUUAGAUACCCUGGUAGUCCACGCCGUAAACGAUGAGUGCUAAGUGUUAGGGGG
rnacentral:rRNA from 1 species